rnacentral:rRNA from 1 species
AGCAAGAGCAUGGCCACCCUGAACAAGCCCGAUCCAGUCUGAUCUCGGAAGCUAAGCAGGGUCGGACCUGGUUAGUACUUGGAUGGGAGACCACCUAGGAAGACCAGGUGCUGUAGGCG